AUACGGAGGGGGUUAGCGUUGUUCGGAAUUACUGGGCGUAAAGCGUACGUAGGCGGACUAGUAAGUGAGGGGUGAAAUCCCAGGGCUCAACCCUGGAACUGCCUUUCAUACUGCUAGUCUUGAGGUCGAGAGAGGUGAGUGGAAUUCCGAGUGUAGAGGUGAAAUUCGCAGAUAUUCGGAGGAACACCAGUGGCGAAGGCGGCUCACUGGCUCGAUACUGACGCUGAGGUACGAAAGUGUGGGGAGCAAACAGGAUUAGAUACCCUAGUAGUCC
rnacentral:rRNA from 1 species